CAGUCGCUCCCAGACAAACAAGAUCACCGUCCCCACAAACAUGUCGAUUGCAAAAUAAGCUCCAAUAUAAAACGGUACUGCCAUUGCCAUUGGAAUAGGAAUAAAUUGGGAAACUUUUUUAGGGGUCACAUCCCUCAGCAGGUUUAUAAGUACAGCUGCCGCAAAGAAUCCGCAACAUAUGGCCAGACAAUGCUUGGGAAGAGAAGAGAAGCCCUCAACUCCAAGAAUUGCCAUUUCCCUGAAUAUAACAGCAUAUGGUGCCUUGUACGGACUGUCAGGGGUUCCAAUUUCAAAAGCACUCCAGAACAACCAAAACGUGAGGGGUGCAAUGACACAACCCAUGGCUGUUCCAACUAACUGACUCACAAACAUAGACUUGGCUGAUGAUAGAGUAAGGUAACCUGUCUUAAAAUCUUGCAUUAGAUCAGCUGCAGUGGAGACGAUGGACAUCAUAACUCCACAAGCAGCCAGGCCAGCUAUGACCCCUCCAUCUUUUCCCACCAAUGAAGCAAUGAUGAAAAGACCAAUCUUCCCAUAGGUUGAAGCCAAGCUCCAGUCAGUGAGUCCAGUACCAUAAGAGUUACAGAAGGCAAGGGCAGGGGCAAUAAUGUACGAGCAGAGGACCAGAUACCAUUUAAGGGGAGGAAAGAUAAGAGGCAUUGUAGCUGUAGAUAUUGCAGCCAGGCCCACAUAUCCAGAAGCUGCAAACCAGUUCGGUAUCCUAUCUUUCAGAAAAACCUCAUCUUGUUUUCGUUGGUCCUGCAAGAACUUGGAAGUCUCACCAUCUGUUUUAAUGUGAACAUGGAGAGUCAGGGAAAAUCACGUGUCAAGCAUGUGUGUGUGUGUGUGCAUGCAAUAUAAUAAGCAAGUCAUAACUAUUCACUCCUCAGACACAAAAGUGAGCGAGUGCAAACUUGCCCGUGUGAUAUAUUUGAUAAGCAGUAAUCUCAGUUGUAACUUUGUAAAACGAGCGAAUAGACAGUCUCAGAAUCUAUAAGAAGAAUUGCCUGUAAAUUGAAAAAUUAUUAAAUAAGGAUGGAAAUACCAACAACUGAAGUCUCUUCUCCAAAAAAAAUAUAAAAAAUAAAAUUGAAGAGGUCUUAUUCAUGCUCCUAGUAAUGAGAUAAUGUUAUACAUUAUUCACUAUUAUUCUGUAAAAUGAACAUGAUUCAUCUUCCCCAGCUAAUAGAAACUUGUUACACAAAGUAACAAAGAUUAGAGUGCUUGGCUAGUAGUAGUUAAUGCAAUGAACAUGUACGUAGACAUGAUUAUUUUAAUUCCUAAACAAUUCCUACAAACAAGCAUAUGAAAUAAAUCAACAGAAAACAAUAUCAAAUUAAGGGAAAACGCCUUGAGCUAUAAUUAUUAUAUUUAAGCUAUAUCAACUUUUUUCUAUGAGGGCCACUUAAUUAAAGGUGUUAGAUCUUGUAAUACUCACCUAAGAUCUCUUUUACAACAGGAAGAUUGUUCUGCUUUGUGUUGAUGUUGCACAGUUCCUUAAUAGUUAUAGCUAUUAUCUUUAUCAAAUUGUAGAGGCCAUCUCCCAGAAUAAGUGCAAUAGCUACGAAAACCUGCAAACAAAAUGAAGUAUCAAGAAAAAUCAUUCUAGUAUAUAAGUUAGUAGUGCAAACAGUCCACUUCAACAUGUACUCUUCAAAAAUUUAAUUUUUUAGAUUAUUUUUUUCCUUUUUUGAGAUUGUGAAUGUCUCAAUAGUCUCCGAUGAUGUGGCAUCAAUAGCUUUCUGCUUCAGUUGAAGUAUCUUAAAACAGUUCAAACUAGAAUGUUGAACUGUCAAGGGCUUUCCUUAAUUGCAGGUCCAUUUGGCACAAAAUACCUCAGAACUUUCCAGUAAGUCCUUUUAAGAAGUUAGAAUAUAGAACAAAAAAUGUAAUACCUUAUAGCCAUAAAGACCUUUAAAGUCAUUGCUUUCAAGGCCAGCUGGAUACCAAUCUCCAGCAUGUUGGGAAAUUAAGGGCCAAAGAAAACCCCAUGAUAUGAUUGCCCCAAGAAGACAUGAGCAGUUGACUAUGUGAGGGCAGAUAAGACCACAACCAACAUAAGUUGGACUGAAGUCAAAAUAGAACCUGCAUGAUAAGUGAUGGAAAAAAUAUCAGUAAUUCAAGCUACUCUCAUGAUGAAUGUUUUCCCUUCUGUUAUGCAUAGAAAUCCUCCUUAAAAAAUGGUACUCGUAUCAAGCAUACAUAUUAUAUGUAAAGUUAACAUCUAGAGCAUUCAUUACACGCUCCUUAAGAUUUAUUUUUUCUUUCUAAUUUACAUUUUAAUAGACUUUGAGCUUCAUAAAUUUAUUAAAAAAUCAGCAGCAAGUACUAAAUUUUAAUAUAUACUCAUGAAGCAGUUCAGUUCAGGUGUUCAAUACCAGCAUAAUACUGCUCAUAUAUAAGUAAUAUUCCCAAAAUAGAGACCAAUAACCAUGAGGCAUGAAGUUCACCACAAAGUAUUCCCUGUUACUCGCAUGGAAAUUGUAGUCCCAGCACAACUGAUGUAGGACAGGUUAGAAAAUAUAUAGAAUACAGACUAAGGAGUAGAAAGAAUGGCUAAAGGACCUAUCCACACAUGGAAUCAGUAGAAACAUUCAUCAAUAAAAGCACAAAGCUUUUGCUCAAACUCAUUACAUAAUUCAACUCUAAAUAAAGACUGAAAAACAUAUUGCACCCAGACUUUAUAUGUCCCAUGAGGUUUGCACCCCAAACUUAAAAACGUGUCUACUUGCUCCCCAACAUUCAUUUUCUAAAACUAAUUCCACCCUCCAGACCCCCAACUGAACAGAAGUGUCGGGAAAUAUUAGUUUUCCAACUUUUGAAAGGGUAAAAUAGGAAGAAAAUGCUAAAAGAACUAAAAAUAUUAAGGAAAUUGUAAUCCCAAAAUUGAAAGCCUACAUGUUCAUCUCUUUUUCUUUCAUCUCUUUUUGGUUAGUGCCUUAGUGGUGUGAAUUAAUUCCUAGUCCUUCCCGAUUGAAAUAUGUAAGGACUGUAGUAGUUUGAAGCUUAGAAUGUGUAACUGUUUGUGGUGCAGAUAACUUGAACGUGCGAGACCCGUAAAAGAUGGAGAUUAUAAGCUGUUGUGGCAUUACAAAACCCAGAAAUUUACUUACAAAUUAUGAGUUAUCUACCCUUAUAUUUUGUGGAUCCCAAGCUUUUGCACCAACUCUGUAAAACAUGGAGAUUAUAAGCUAUUGUGGCAUUACAAAAACCAGAUAUUUACUUAUAAAUUAUGAGUUAUCUACCCUAACAUUUUGUAGAUCCACCGCUUUAAAACCAACUCUAUGGAUUUCAAUUAAGCGUAGAAAGAGAAUUGAACUACUGAUUAAAAUCACAGUGCUCUGCCACUAUUGCAUCCUUUCCAUCGGCUUCUAUGAAUUCGUCUUUGUUGGAAGCCACAAAGUUACUCACUUUUGCAUGGUCGUCCUAGGUUAUAAGAGAUCAAGAAUAAGAUGAUAGAAAAUCAUGCCCAUACUUAUAAGAAAACUCAAAAAAAUAUCAACUAGUGUCACUAAGUGAGCCGCUUGGGGCUUCCAAUAAAGACUUGCAUGGUGUAGCCUCUUGAAAAUGCAGAUGUUUAUGAAACUAACUUAACCAGAUUGAAAUAUAUCUUUUUAGAAGGUUAUCCUAACGUAUCAGUUACCACAUUUUCAGAUAACCGAAUUUCAUACCAAAAAGACGCAAAUAAACCUACCCCUACCAUACUCUUUACCAUAGAAUGUGACGUUUUACACUCCUGUUUCGCUCCACGUAUUGUAUUAAAUCACGAUCCAGGUAACAUGGGGUUAAUAACAAUAAGCUAAAAGCACAAGAAGCUUACGUGUUCUUGUACAGUGUCAAACCGAGACUAGGGAAAUUAUCAAAUCCACAUGAAUCCCCAAUACCACUGAAGAACCACUUAAAGCAACUCCAGAAAAAACUUAUGCUCAAAUACUUUCCAAGACAGCUUACUUGUUUCCUGUUACAAGAAGUGCAUACAUGUUAGGAUAAUGUCAGAAUUUAAGCAAUUACGGAACAUGAAAUAUUUUAAGAGGUAAAAAAAAGCACUAAAGAAGACGACGUCAACAUCAUGACAAACUUUACCAAAGUGGGCAAGAUCUCGUGGUUCCUCUUUCCAACAGUACAAGGUAAAAAAAACCCUUAAGAAAUAGGUCUGAUACUUGGAAAAAAAAGGCCAAAAUGAGGUUUGGUUUAUCAGAAAUUAGCACAACAGCGAGACAAUAUAAAUACUCACUCUGCGAUAACCAUUACAGGAAAAUUUUCAGUUAUCCAGAUCUGCCAGGGUUGUUUUUUUCUUCUUUUUCUUCUUUUUUUCUUUUUUUUCUUUCUCUUUCUUUAUUUACUUUGAAAAGUCAUGGUUAUCAUGGAUUUGUCUUUUUCCCAGAAGCUUAAGAUAAAAUCCGAGUUCGGGUAUGAUUUUUCUUCAAGUUGGCAAUAAGCUAACACAUUCCGACACUUGUAGAUUAACUCCAAGAGAACCAAAAUGUAGAAGAGAGAUCUGUCUAAUCAAGAUUUGAACCUUUUCAACAGCCAACAGUAAAGAUGAUUGAAAACAAGGCUUCAACAUGACCAGCCAAAACAAGUAAAGAAUUUACAACCUGCUACUAGUGUAACCUCCUAGUCUCUACUUCCAAAAAAAUUGCAGUUUGGAACAACUAUAUCCUCUCCCAACAGUUAUUAAAACUGUGCUUCAUUUAAUGAUGAUAGUUAUAAAGACCUGUAGUUUCAGAAAACCAAAUUGUAAUCUGAUUACUCCAAAUGCAGCCUCCCCUCUUCCAUAGUUAAACUUAAAUCCAGAAUAGUAUAUUAGGAGGGGCGGAUCCACGGCAGGGGCAGGGGGGGCAGCUGCCCCCACUGAACUCUUCAACUGUUCAGCAACAGAGAGCAAUAGAGAAACAACAUGACUAGAAUACAUACACUUUCUCUCUAUAUAUCUCUGCAAUGGCUUCCUCCUCGCACCACCAACCAUUCUCUUCCAAACGCCCCAAUAUGGGCUUUCUCCCUCCUCCUCCACCGCCACCACAAGGUCCACAACCUUCAGUUCCCCUCAAAAAUCCUACCCCUAACCCCGCCUCUUUCGCCGCCGCCGACGAUGACAAGGGAAAAGCCCUAAUGUCUCCCUCGGAGGAAGGUGUCGUUCUUACCAAUUCGAGCCACCUAACGGCCCAAGAAGUUAUGAGCCGCCAGUCUCACAAUCUGAAGGAACUGGCCAAGGUCUACACUGACCAUUACUGAAAAUUAAUGGAGGAUCUUAGAAUUGAGCACAUAGAUUACGUUUGGAAGUUUGGGUUGAACCCCUUUCAGGAAGACAAUAAGAAUGAUGAAAAGGAGCAAAGAAAUCGACGCAGAUGGUGGCGGAGGCGGCAUUUGCGAAGAAAGCGGAGAAACAAAUGUAUACAACAAUGGUAAUUAUGGUGGAAACCAGCUUUGUGCUUUUAAUGGAUGAAAGCUCAAAGCAAUGACAUUAAUUACCUACUGCAAGCUGCAUACCUUAUCGGACAAAAAGCAGCAAAAUAUGGUUUGUUUGGUAAUGAGUAUUAUUUAAUUGGUGCAUACGGGUAGUUUUGUAGCUCAUUUUAUUAAAUUUUUAUUUUUAAGGAUUUUUUUUUCGAAUUUGACCCCACUAAACUUUCAGGCUGGAACAGCCCCUGUAUAUUAGUAUGAUGGUAUCUAACAACUGAAACGUUUAUUCUUUCCUUCCAGCUGCACCACAACCUACAUAGAUGGGUGCAAAACAUACUUUGAAAUGAAGAUCAUGAUCAAUGAGCAAUAAAGAACAAGAAAGAUGGACUUUCUUUGCUAGGUAAAGUGAUCGUCUCAAACAACAAAUCCGUAAGUGGCCAAAUGUUCCAAGGACAAGGGGAUGACAACAUGAAACUAAAUCACGCCUCAAAGGUAAGAUUAGUUGAAGGUUAAGAUUCAAUAGGAUGACAUGAGAUCAAGGGUCCAUGCUCGUUUAUUCUACAUUUAAACCAUCUCUACCAUUAUAAACAAUCACAGUCAAAUCGUAGGAAAUGAAUACUUGCUCGACUCUAAAAAGUUAGUCUUGUUUAUAAGCAACAUGUAAUUGAAUCCUCAACAAAAAACUUCCCCUUCAAUAACAUCAACAUGACAACUUUCUUUUGUUUAAUAAGAUCCAUACCACCAUUUUUACCAUUAUGUAGGCAAUUUUUGAAAGUAAGAGAUUAUAUUACAUUAUUAAACUUUUCUUCUUAUGCUGUAACACCCAUUUGUGCUUCUGGUUCUCUUUCGGCACAUAUAAUUAUAUCACUUACAGGUGGUUUACGUUACUAAAUAAUAAUCCCUCCUUCCCAAAUCAUGAGUCAAAGUCAAUGCGGCACACAGUUUUAAUAAAGGGAAAAAAAAUUGAUCAACUUGUUCCUUUUCAAGGGGGGAAAAGUAUCUUGUUCCUUUAAUACCUGUCUUAUUAUAAAUUUGCAUCAGCUUUUUAACGUGGGACUGAAAUAGUUUCAACUUUAUUUUUCAAAAAGAAAAUAUGGUCCAUUCAUAUAACAGUUGCAUUGGUUCUGUUAAAAGACAAAUACCUUGUGACAUCCAAAAAAACAAUGUUCUAAAAGGCGCUAGGCGGGAGGCGAGCGGUCGGGGAGCCUACUGCCUAGGGCGGAAUUUUUUAUUUUAAGCCAAUUUUAAUAUUUUAUCUUACAUUUAUCCAAACAAAACAAUAAUAUAAAGCAAAACAAUCUAUAAUAAAGAUAAUAAAUACCUUUUCUUAAAGUUCAAACACAUAUCCAUAUUGUUAAUGUCAAAGUUCAAACACAAACAUGCAAUUGUUCAAAGUUCUAACACAAACUAAUAUUAAUUUCUUAAAAAUCAAUUAUUUAAAUUUAAAAUAUCUCAAAUUGAUUUUUAAAAAAUUAAUAUUAGUUUGUGUUUGAACUUUGAACAAUUUCAUACUUGUGUUUGAACUUUGACAUUAGCAAUAUGAAUAUGUGUUUGUACUUUAAACAAAUGCCUUUAUUAUCUUUAUUAUAAAUUAUUUUGCUUUAUACUAUUGUUUUGUUUGGAUAAAUGUAAGAUAAAAUAUUAAAAUUGGCAUAAAAUAAAAAAUCUCGCCUAGGCCCCCUAGGCGCUAGCCGCUCGCCUCCAGCCUAGCGCCUUUUAGAACAUUGAUAGAAGGAGUCAGUGAGACUCUUCAAGAACAAGAACUUCGACAUGUUGAGACUCAUGAGGAUCUUAAAGUGGCUGAAGUUAAGGAUGUUGUAUCAGUUGAAAAUUCAAAGGUGGUUUGCAUUAAAGGAAGUACAAUGCAAGAAGUGAAUCCUGUUAACCAAGAAGUUGAACACAAAAAGAAAGACACAAUUGAGGUACAAUAUGUUGAUUUUCUUAUGCCAAAUUUUGUAUUCGAAUUCAAAGUUGUAUCUUGUUUCUUGCUUGUGAUAAUGUUAUUCCCAAAAAUUGUGCUCAAGAAACAUCGAAUUCGCGUGUUUUGUUGGAAGUUGGAACGCAUCUCCGAGACUGUGGUUUAUUAUUCUUUGAUAUUUCAAAACUCGAGGACGAGUUUUUUUCAAAGUUGAAGAGAACGAUGAGGUAUGAAAUAGAAAAAUUAAGAAAUUUAUUAUUAAGUUUGUAUUUUUAUUUUAAGAUAAAUAUUAGAGUAUUAAUGUAAUUAUUUUAGUAGGAUAUUCUAGAAGUUAAUUAUGGUAGUAGAUUAUAAUUAGGAGAUUUAUGGUAGUAGAUUUUAAUUAGGAGAAUUUUAUUAUAGUAGUAGAUUUUAAUUAAGAGAUUGUUUCUUUUUUAAAUUAGGAUUUUUACUUGAUCCCUAGUAUUGGUUUUCUAUUUAAGUAUUGUAAAACUUCAUUAUUUUAGAGAUUACCGAAUGAAUUGAUUUGAGAUUAAAGUUGUAUGCAUUUGUGUGUGUUUCUUUACCGAUUCUCUGCGGAGAUAAGUACUCUUAUUCCAUCUCCCUACCCCGUCUUACAUCACUUUCCUUUAAAGCGGAUACAGAUAUUCAUGUUGAUCUUUGAUCUCCAUCCAUUGUUAUUUCAAUCAUUUCACUUUCAUGCCAUAUUGCCACAUAAAUUAUGCAGAUAUCCCGAAACAUCUUGCAUUGUAAGGAACAGGAUUUUUCAAUUUUUAUGAGUAAUUAACUCACAAAAAUUGAAAGAACUUAAUAUAGUUUCUUACCCAGCAAGAUCAGCUCCAGAAUUAGUAUGGAAGCUAUUGAUCAACAUUGCUGUGGCAGUUCCACUAGGGUAUGUAAGCUUAUAAUCAUUGACCAUAACCUGAUAAGACAUAUAAAGUAAGAACAAAAAACACAUACUUAGUUAAGAAGUCAUUUGUUAGCAGUAGAACAGUCUAGAAAAAUGCUAGUAUCAUAUGUAAGCCUCUAGCAGGGAUUAGAAUUUCCCAAACAAUAGCUUAAACUAAAGUAACUUCAAAAAAUUCUUUGUAUCCACUAGAAAAAGAGAUGCAGACACUAUCCUUUUAGUUACAAAAGACAUUAAGCACAGCUAAAUAUUUGGAGUUUAUACUAUAUUUCCAUGGCUCAAUUCUUUAUUGAAGUCUAAACUUUAUUUUCGCAGAACAAUGUUUAUGUGAUUAUGGAACCAGUAAACUGAAGAAUAAUUCAUAUAUGAAAACAAGAAUUUCUGUCAGAAGUAUUUAGGAAUUCCACAAUUACUUAGGAAUGCACUGUCAGAAGUAUUUCUGUCUUCAACUCUUGCCUAUAUAUGUAGCAACAGGAGUAUUUAGGUUGAUUUGUUGUACUACUAGCAAUCUCAGCAGUCAAGCAUAAGCAUUAUGGGGUCAGGAUAUACCUUACGAAGCGGAGCAAGGCUGAAAAGGCCAAGAAAACUGACAACAGAUAUGAAGCCAAUCAUCCAUAACAAGCCUGGGUUCUUAACAUCCUCUGCCCGGUUACCAGGGUAAUCCACACCAAUCAGUUUAUAUGUUCUCUCAUUCAUUGAAAGCAAAUAUGACCCAAAGCCACCUGCCAAACCAAGGAAAUGUACCAAAUUUGAGAUUCAUCAUGUGCAAAAGCUUGCUUAAACAAUAAAGAUGAUGGAUAAAGAAACGCUACUGAGGCACAUAGAAAAGGGAAAAACAAUCAAUAAACAUAGUAAAGGUAACCGGUGAGGUUGAGCAAGAAAAUUUAUAAAAUUAAAAAAAAGAUGAUUUUACUACCUUAAAGAUCUAAGUUAAGAGUAAAUAUGUUAAAUACUGAAUAGAGCACUAAUUUGCUGCAAGCAUAAAUGACUCGUAGGUCGUAGAUUGACCAUAAAGCUUUAAAGGAACAGCUUAAAGAAAAACAUAAUGAAGUGCGAUAUUUAUAUUCUAAAGAGUAAAAAUGAAAGAAAUAGUGCAACAAAAGUAGAGUUGUAAAUGGUAACAGGAAAAUCGGCAUCCGUAUUAAAAAAAAAGAAGGAUAUUAUUCGCAUUCAAAAAACAACGAAUAUAUCCGUAUUCGGUUUAAAGGUAUCUGCAAAUAAACGGAUACAAAUACAGAAGUAGGCGUAUUCGUAUUUAUUUAACGUGCAACCGUAAAUAUAUCCGGCGGAUAGUAGAUAUCCGGAAUCAGAUAUUCGAAUUCAAAUCCGUAUCCGGAACUCGUAUCCAAAUAACUUACACACACACACACAUAUAUAUAUAUAUUAUAAUAAGCAAAAUAACUUUUUAAAGUGGUCUUUCUUAUAUAAUAAUUAGUUUUCACUAGCAUACGGAAAUUAUUUUAAAAAUGUCAUUUCACUUCUAAAAAGUAAGAAAUAACAUUUUUAUUAUAAUAUUAAUAAACUGAAAUAAAUUGAUUUAAGUAUAGUAAAUGAAUUUUUACUAUUAUAAAGUAAAAAUAUCUAAAAUGUAUCAUUUAACAAGAAAAUUAUACACUACAAGAACAAAAAUAUAGUUAUCACCUUGUUACAAGUUUUUUACUUUCAAAACUUACUUGCAUUGCUGGGAGGCGAGAGCAAUAGACAAUAUAAUUUGAUUGUUAAAAUAUGUUAGGUCCGAAUAAAUUUAGAAUUAAUCUAAAAGGGAGGGUUGAAUAGAUUAAUUCACGUUUAUAAAUUUUCAGAUGGAGGGAGUAUUUAUCACUUUCAUUUACCAAAUUAUUUAGAAACUAGAAGUUCAAAUAUUUAAAAUAAGCCCAAGUUCAAUUUUGGAUCAAGUUGGAUUAACUAGUUGUCACACAUACAUUAUAACUUGCACUCCAUAAAUAUAAUGAAAUAAAAUAAUUUUUUUAUAACUAUAUAAUAUAUGUAUUGAUGAUAAAUAAUAAAUAAAACUCCCCAUAAACAUAUUAUUAAAGUUUUAAUAAAGUAUUUGAGAAAAAGUAAUUAUAUAUUCAAUGUAUCUUUUGAAUCUAAUUAUAGAUUAUAGGCUUAAAUAUGAAUUAAUACCCUAAACUAUAGGUCAUAUUCCACUUCGGUGAUCCACCUUUCAAUUUUGUCAAUUAGAUGAUUAAACUAUCAAUUUUUUUCAAUUGCACCAAAUUGAACAUGUCACAUCAGAAAUUGCUGACGUGGCUAAAUUGUGUAGGGCUUUAAGAAACUUAUGUGGCAAAAAAAUUAUUUUUUAAUCAUUAAAUAAACAAAUAUGUUUAAAUAAAGAGCAAAAUGGUCAAAACCUAAUUUAACAUUUCUAAUUAAAAUAAAACAAACAUAUAUCAGUACAAAUCCAUUACAAUCGAUCGAUCAAGACUAGCUGCCAACCAUUACAACAAUUUUUCACAAACAUUCAAUGGUUAAAAAUCCACUCCUUAAUUUCUAAAUCAUCGCAAAUAAUUUUGUUAUUUCUUUUCUUUGUUUUAUGUUGCUACCUUCUUCUCCUUGAAAAAUCCUAUAAAUCUCACCACCCAAUUCCAUCGGCGUCGCCGUGAACCACCACCAUCAAGAAUGGGAUCAAGCGGCUUUUAGCCACUGGAUGAUUUCAACGAAACACACCACCCAUGAAUACUAUAUAUCCCUGUAUAACUAAAUUCAAAAAAGAGAAAUUUCCGAUGAUAAAACCGGCAAAGAUGUCGAAAAACACAGUUAAAUCCAUUUGAACUAAGGCAAACAGAUCUAACAAAAACAUCCAUAACUGAUUUAAUGGAGGGGAUAAGGUAAUAAACACGUAAAAAAUCUGCAGGGAAAACCACCAUGACUUCCGUCCACAAAAUCAGUCAUGGGGAAAAAACAAAUCUUCAAACCCUUACUUGCCCAUAUCUGAAAUUGCACCAUAGAUGUCGGCGAAUCUAGAUAAUGAAGAUUUAAAACUCAAAAUCAAUAAAUCAGUUUCUAAGUAAUAACAAUCAAAUCUGAUAAAUUGGAGCAUAACCCAAGAUGCAAAAAAAAUAGAACAAUAACGAUUACAAUCCAAUCGAUCCAACACCACCACAGACCAAAGCAAGACCUGUUUCUACUCCUCAAUUUGUCAGAAACAUUCAAUAGUUGCAUAGUUGCUGCAAAAUAUAUGUUUGGCAGCUAGUCUUGAUCGAUCGAUUGUAAUGGAUUUGUACUAAUAUAUGUUUGUUUUAUUUUAAUUAGAAAUGUUAAAUUAGGUUUUGACCAUUUUGCCCUUUAUUUAAAUAGAUUUGUUUAUUUAAUGAUUAAAAAAUAGUUUUUUUUGCCACAUAAGCUUCUUAAGGCCCCACAUAAUUAGCCACGUCAGCAAUUUCUGACAUGGCAUGUUCAAUUUGAUGCAAUUGAAAAAAAUUGAUAGUUUAAUCAUUUAAUUGACAAAAUUGAAAGGUGGAUCACCGAAGUGGAAUAUGGCCUAUAGUUUAGGGUACUAAUUCAUAUUUAAGCCUAGAUUAUAAAUAUUCAUAUACACUAAAGUAUUACUCCACACAUAAAAUUCACUUAUUAAUGGACAUCUAAACAUUAAUAAGUAGAGCAUUUAUUUUGAAAUCUAGAUUAAAUGUUUAUUCUUGGAUUGAAUGUUUAAGUAUUACUUUAUUGACUUAAAUAUAAAUUACUAUCCUGAACUACUUAUCUUUUUCCACUUCAAUGACCGACUUUUUAAUUUUUUCAAUCAGAUGAUUAAUUUUUUAAUUUUUUUCACAUUAGUUCAAUUGAAAAUGCCACGUCAUAAAUUGAUGACGUGAUCUGUUGACAUGACAAAUCUAUGCCAAUUAAAACUGCCACAUCAUAUUUUUAGUAGUUAAAAAAAGGUAAGAAUUUAGGCAAAUAAAUAUAUAAUUAAUUAAAACAAAAUAACUACACUUAUCCUCUUAAAACAUAUUACUAUAUCAAGUUAAAACAAAACAAAAACUAUAGUUGAACAAAAACUAAAUUAAAACAAAACAAACUUAAAAACAAAACGAAAGAAGUUAUAAAAUAAAAUACAUAAAACAAAACUAAAACAUGAAAUAUCAAAUUUUUAGUUAUUAAUGCCCAAAACAAAUCAGUCAAAAAUUUCUCAAAAUGGCAUAAACAUGACACUGAUAUUCAUCAUCCAACCCUUUUCUUCUUGUUCUCAUUUUCUUUUGUUUGACGGCAACCAUGGUGGAGAUAGUAUCGUAAACUAUGGCGAUUGUUGAGUCUUUGAUUGUUGGUUCUUCUUUCCUUUCCCUCGUUCUUCUUUCCUCCAUCAUCCCUCUUAAUUUAGAUAUUAGUUCAACAAUAAAUCUUAAAAACCAUCCAAAUCUGAUUUUGAUGGUAUAAAUUUGUUAUCAAAAACAAAAGUUUUCUUAAUCCAGAUCUAGAUUUGUGGUGUCAACAGUUGUACUUGAGAUUUUUUGGUUUAUGAUGAUUACACCCAGAUUUGAUUAUUUUUUUUGGAUACACAACAGAUCUAAUUUUGAAUUUGGCUAGGUUUGUUGGGCUCAUCGUAAACGCGGACCAAAUCAACAUCAUCAUCUCUACAAUUUGUUAUUCAAAAACCAAAGUUUUCUCAAUCCAGAUCAGUUUUUUUUACCAAACAGAUGGCGAAUCUCAGUUUGAAAAUGGUCGAGCUUGUUGGGAUCUAGAGUUGGUAGAGACAUCUAGACUAGGAACUGGUGUAAUAUUGAUGAUGAUGAGGUUGGCGACUAUGUACUACCAUUUGUUGGUGGUGGUUGGGUGGUAAUGACUGGUAAACGAAUUGAUAUACCCGAAUAUUCGAAUAAUCUGUUUAUUUGAAUAAAAUAAACAAAAAUGGAUAUUAUCCGUAUUCGGAUAUUAUUUCAAAUAUGGAUAAUAUUUUUAAAAUCCGCCUAAUACCGGAUACCAAUAGCAAGUUGAUUUUUCAGAUACGGAUAUCACUGUAAGUGGAUCCGUAUAUCCGUUUACACCCCUAAACAAGACAUUGAAGUUACUCAUUACACCCGAUUAACAGAAGUGUCGUAAAAGCUACAUUUUCACUCUGACUAAUAAACCUGAUAAUUACUUUCCAAAGUCCAAACACAAGAACUAUAUCAAACCAAGGGCAAAUGCAUAAUACAUAAUUACAUGGGCAUAAAAAUGCUUUCAAACACCACAGUUACACUAUCCACAACAACUCAACUCAAGUCAAAAAAGAUUUUUUAUCCCUGUCUUGUUACUCUAUCCAACACCAGAUAAGAAUUAAUCAUAUUGCAAAACAAUACAAACAAGCUAAAAAUACACACAUAUCAUCAGACAAUAAGAUUUUUUCAGCAGUAAUAAAAUAUAAAGCACACUACUUAAGCUCAAAACAACUUAAAAGAAUUAAAAAUAUAUACCACUAAAAGCAAGGCCAUAACAAGCAACCACGCAAGUCUGAAUCACUGUAUUCUCUUGUCUAGUAAAUGGUUUAACAGCAAACCCUAAUUUGGACAAAAGCCCAGUCCAUGACUUGACGAAGAAGAAGCCGAGCAGCCCUGCGGCAACAUUCAAGGACGGAAUGAUCCCGACCGUCAGAUUGAGCUUGUGAGUGAUGAUACAGAAGAGUGCCCCCAAUAUAGCACUCACCACCAACCCUCUGAUCGUGAUCUGAUCUUUCCAUUCUGGGAUUAUUUCCAGUUCAAAAUCCCUAUUCUCAGUAGUCUCAUCCCUUAAAAAGGGUUCAGAAAUCUCCACGGCUGCUGAGGAGUGAUUCUCCGUGCCCAUUACUAUGAAAAUUCGCUAGGGCCCGUAGAAUUUGGAGAGAAUUUGGGGACUGGGUUUGCAAUCUGAGUGGACUAGGAAUUCGAUGAUAUUUAUGAGAGGAUUUGUUUGAUUCCUUGUGGAACGAAUAGAUGGGGAAAUAGGCUUUGAAUUGAAUUAUGGUAGGGAAAAUUCAGAAGAACCACUUAUUCGGGGGUUAAAUGGUGUGAGCGGGGUCGGGGGUUAAAUGUUUUUAUUAUAAAAAUAUCAAAAAAAAUAUCAACUUCCUAUCCCAUAUUCUACAACCCACAAUCCAACAUUACUUGCCAUCUCUCUCAAAUAUUUUUCAUCCUUAAUCUACAUACUAACUAUCUCUCUAUAAUCUUCUUCAUCCUUAUAUUAUAGAGUUGGUUCAGAGAUUUUUAGGAGACAAGCUUCUCCUUAUUAUUCUCUAUCUUUCUUCUACUUCUUUAUUUAUUUGGACUUGUGCUUUGAUGCAUUCAAGUUAUAUGGAUUUACAUCAAAUCCAAUCAGAUAUAGGUUUAAAUUAAAUACCCAAGAAAUAAUUUGAGGGAAGAAAAGAAGAAUUUAUGGGUUCUCAAAUUAAAUACAUAGAAAAAAAAUUGGAAAGAAAAAAAGAGAGAAUUUAUGCUUCUCAAGACUCAAAUUAAAUACAGAGGAAAAAAACAAUAGGUAGAGGUGGUAAAAGCCAUUGAGUCUUCCUAAUUCUUACUCACUACCGUCAUAGAGUUCUUGAGUACCGGUGACUAUGGAACUCCCUACUCAAAUUUGAUUCGUUGGAUGAGAAUAAUGCACUUCAGAUUCAAUUGACGACGGUGGCAAUAGUGUGGCAAGAAUGGUGAUGAUCCAAAAUAAUUUAUGAAUAAACUUUUAGAUCUGCCACAGUCCCAAUCCUCUUUCUAAAUGGUGAUAUUUUAAUGAUGGAAUUAGUUUUUUUUUAAAAUAAUAAUUAGUUCGUAUUUUAAAAUUCUAAUAUUGUCAAUACUUCUUAUACAUUGGGUUUGCCCAACAAUAAUUGAUUUUUUAUACCAAAAAACAUAAAUAAUUAAAAGAAAGUCCGCAUAUCAAAAGACACGAGCUUUUUCUGUGUCUAAUUUCCGUUAAAAGUCAAAUGACGAACUUGUUUAAACAGAUUUUUUGUAACGCGGGGCAACGUGCCCAUGCGGGUUCUACUCUACUUAUAAGGGUUAUCUAACAAGGAGUUGCAGGAGAGCUCUUUCAAUCAAUAACACUGGAAUUCAUAAGUACAAGAGAUUCUAGGUAUACUCCCUCCCUCCCUCCCUCCCAAAAUCUAAGAGCAACUUACUAAAAAUGAAACAAUUUCAAAGAUAGCGCUUAUGUUCUUAAUUGAGAAUGAGGUACUCGCGUAGUCAUUUUGGUCACAUAUUUCGGACAAAACUAAAAGUCAUUUUGAUCUUAUAUUCACAACAUAAAUGAAAAGGAGACAGAGAUAACAGACAAUGAGUUAAAGCUCACAAACGGCAAGCUAGAGAUCGAAGUUCCUUGAAGCUGAAGAAAGAAGAUCAGGUGGAUUACAAAUUAUCUAAGAGAAGGAAUUGUGUUAGCACCAUUACGCUCAGCAAUGAUCAAAUUGAAGGUCCCGAAAUAUGGCGACAUGUCCACUCCAAGGAUAUAUUCAUGGUUCUUCACUAUAAUGUCCCAAAACAGGUGAUGAGACAGAGAAAGAAAAGGGAUCAGUUGGGGAGCUCUUCAAGAAUAAUACCAAUGCCGCCUACAAGCAAUAUAAAGAGCAAAGCAAAAUCCAAGGGACCGUAUGCCAUGCAUUUUAUGAAGAAGAUGCUGAAAAAGAUUCAUAUCCCCUCAAGGAGCUGCUGCACACUAUCUGUUAAUGGUCUUGCUGCAGAUUCUGUUCCAACCAAGAUGAAACUGCCCAAGGUUGGUCACCGCUACCGGUUCUUUUUAGACAAACUGUCAAAAAAACAGAUGAAAUAAUAGUGGUCGUGUAGAUAUUAAAGGCCAGAUGUAAUAAUUUCAAUGAUCUAUGUAGUCUGUAUUGUAGAUAGUUGAGUUGAAAUUAUUUUUAGAAAAGCCAGACAAAUUGAAGUCAAUGACUGUUCAAUUCCGCUCUAGACUUAAAAAACUAAAAAAAAUCCCCAAACUUCUGAUGGCCUUUCUCAUUAUAUGCAUCCCAAAAAUGGCGUGCCACCCAGGAAGAAUGAGCUGUGCCAGAUUAUAACGAAUUAUCAACAAGAUAAAGCACGUAUAAGAAUUCCUUAUGACAGGUCAUAGAAAUACUUCACUGAAAACGUCAUAUUACAAUUUACUAAGUCACUAUCUACUAAAUCAACCAUCCUACUGUAAGAGUUUCAGAGAUCGCCCUCCUAAAGGUUAUAAUGAAGACAUCUUAAUUCAUACAUAAACCGCCUAUAUUGUUGAAGGUGGAGUCUUCACCUAGAUAGUCAAAGAGCUAGGUGUACCUAAUUUUUUUUACAUGUGCUCAUGCAGACCCUAAGAAUGUUGCACAGAAGAAUCCAUCCUGAAAGAUCAACCGCUGACAAAAAGUUCGCUAAGUCAGACAAAUAUGAGAACAAGAACACUUCCCAAAGUGGCAAAAAUAAAGAUGGAGAUGAGACAUUCCUAGAAUGUGACAACAAAAUGUUUCUUCAAACAAUCAUGUUAACAGAAGAAAUCACCACCAUGAGCCUUUGUCAUAAUAGGCUCAGCAGGAGCCAUUCAACUGGAAAAUGAGAGCUCUGGAUUAAAACAGAUGCAGACUGUAAGUGAAUAUAUAUAACUAAGUCACUCAAUUAAAGAUUAGUAAAAUUGCAGUACACCUCAGUCCACAGGAUCUAACUUAAUGAACGAAUAUUUUUUUUAACUUUUCUUUUAGUUUAUUUGAUAAGUUAUUGAACAUGGGAUUUAUGGAUCAUAACUUUUAGCUGUAAGAAAAGAAUUGCUACCUGUUUAUUUUAAGCUUUCUACUGUUUCCAUUGCAGAUCUUGUGCUAGAGCUGUAGAGGCAGAAAAGCCGGAGCAAUACCAUUAAGCUCGUCCUUGUCAGUUAAGAAGUGUGGUGCGAGUCUGAUUACAAGCUGUAUUUUGGUUAGUAUUAUGCCAGUUGUGAGUGAUGAUGAACUCGAGUGAAGUGAAGGAGAAUAAGAGAGGCAUUCCUCAAAUGAUUUCAAACUUCAAAGUAAUGGUAGCGCUAAUUAAGUGUCAAAUAUGUGUCCUAUACUGAUGUUAUAAUUACUAAAAAUGUGAAAUGAUGUGGAGAAUCGUUAUUAUUUUGAUAAAUGAUAUGUGGAGAAUCAUAUGGUCUAGUGUGUUAGAUGAACCGGUACUUUGUGCAUUCCGUCAUCAAGAUUUGAACUUCCGAAUCACGGAACGAUGAGCAGCUGCAAGACUUCUUAAAACUCUAAUAACAGUACCAAUAUAGAAAAAUAUAAAGUCUUCAACCUUGACUUAGAAAUCCAAGUCAACUGUGUUAGAAUAUCAGACAAACACCAUCAAGGAUCUACACUCUGCAGCUUUAAAUUCAUUUUUGUUGUUUGAAUAAGUUUUCCUGGUAAUCGUGUUUUAUGUUUGUUAAUCGUGUUUACAUUUACAAUGAUUUUUUUUUACUAGGACUCAAAUUGCAUAAAGAACAAACUUGAAAAUGGUCGUACCUCAGGCACAACAUCAAGUAUCCAUGAACAAGGCAAUAACACAGAUCAAAGAUUAUACGGUUACAGGCUCUUCCUUAAGCACUCCACCCAUUUCCAUGCUCCACGGCUGGUCGACCAAAGACACUAACUCUCUGGAUGAACAAAGGCCCCAUUAUAAACAAAUUGGCACAUGUAAUACAUAACAAAUUUAGAUUACAAAGAGCUGUAUAUGUAGCAGCGCCAUUGUUCUUCUCACUUAUAGUUUAAAGAUUCAAAUCCAUCUGACGCAUAACUUCAAAAUUUUCAAGAAAAGUCAACAAUAUACCAAUACGGUUAGCUAGACUUAUUUCAUUUUUUUAAGCAUUGAAAGAUUACUUCCUAUUUUGAGUUUUUAAAAAUCCCUUCAUAUUGUCAGGCCCUUUUACACGUGACAUGUAACAGUUUAGGGUUACUGCAAUGUGAAAUGUUUCAGUAAAUUUACUCCAUCACUACAUCAGCUAACCUAUAAGCAAAAACUAUAGCUAAAUCAUAGAGUGGAACAAGCUCUAGUAGAGAUUAGCAGGAACAAACAGUUUUAAAUAUCCAGAUAUAGAAAAACCUUAUGCCUCAGCAUCGCACAAGGUUUUUCUAGGUUUAAAUAUCCAAUUUCAUUGCAGAAAAACCUUGUGCCUCAGCAUGGCACAAGAUUUUUAUAGUUUUAAAUAUCCAAUUUCAUUGCUGGCCAAGACUGAAGGCAGAAUGUGAAAUAAUUCCCUUAAUUUUUAGGAGUAUUAGAAAAAUAAAAACUAGCAACUAUGACUAUGAGAAAAAUAAUAAAUGAGGCAGAAAAUCCAGUGAUUAGGAGAGAGGGGGAAAAAACUUACUUGAGGUCAUGGCUAACAACAAGUAUGGUUAGUUCUUCCUUUAGAUGCUUUAACAGCUUUACAACAUCUGCACGAGCCUUCCAAUCUAAUUCCAAGGUCACAAAAUAUGCUAUUUCAGUAGUAUGGGAGAAAAAUAAUCACAGAAUUCAGGAUGGGAUAUAGAACAAUAUCUCAGACACGUGAAGGUUGAGACCCCAGACCCUGAAAUCUUCCUCAUAAAUUUCAUACUGUUAAGAAGUCAUAAGACAUACUUAACAAAAUUACGAAAGAAAAACAAGUCGCCAGACAAGAAAGAACAAUGCAUUCUGAAGACUAGAAGUUAAAGAAUAAUCUAUUAUCUUUGGUAUUUGUAUCAGUGUUAGAUGCUCAAAUGACUUGAAGCUUUUCUCAAUAGGUAAAGCCAUAUAAGUAAUUGUCAAUUACACAUGGUGUCAGCAAAUAUUUCCAACCUUUUGACUCCUCUUUAAAAAAACCAUAAUAAGUUUUCUGGAAAGGCAACAUGUCAGACUUUGAUAAUCCAAUUGUUUCUGGCAGAUACUUUUCUGGCAGAUACUGUUCUUGAUGAAGUUUCAUUUGAGAUAUUGUUAUGUAAAAAUAUGUUUUGAUAUCUCACCAUGUUACAGUAUUUCCAUGAAUGAGUGUCUCACUUGACUCUUAGACUUUCUUUUAUGCAUAUUAAAGUUUUCCUAGGACAAGCUUAAACAUACUUCUUCAAUAAUUUUUUCAAGUAAUGAAUUUCAGAAAAGUAAAGCAUAAAAAUAGAUUAUGUCCAAUUGAUUCCUGAACAAAUCUUAAAAUGCAUAGAAAAAAUCAAAAAGUCAAAUAAGACUUUCCUUUUUUGCAUGGAGGAGCAUGUAUCUUAUCUUUUAUAUGUAAUUAUUGUAAUAAUAUAAAAGUAUAUAUACUUCUCCAAUAAGAUGCAGUUAAAUUGCUAACAUAUAUUCGUACAAAUCUCCACAUCUUUCCUUCCUUCUCAUUAUCAAACAUGCAAAGUGGCGCCCUCAACUUCUUGUCCACCCUUGUGUUAUAGCAAAUAAAAUGAUGGAAAAACACCUACCCUUAUGUAUGGAAGCGAAACUUCAAUUGUCCCAUGUUUCAAUCAGAUGGACUUUAAUAACAAAUGUAAUUACAAAAUAGAAAAGGACAAAAAGAAACAUGCCACUAAAAUAAUGAUGACAAGAGGCUGAAAUGAUCACAUAGUUACAGCAGUCUGCAAUACAGAGUGCAACAACCCUUAGACAUUUAACUAAAUGGCUAUAAAAUUGUUGGUUUUGAUUUGCCACAACAGUACAGAUGAUGCAAAAAUUCUAGGCAUAAUUAAUAACAACAUAAGAACAAUUCCUUUGUUAUUCAAAUAAGAAGUUGAUACCACUCAGGAAACUGAAAAACAAUGCCAACUCUUGUUAGAAUUUGAGCCAAAUUUGAAGUGGGUUUCAUUAAUUAUUUGAAGUGAAUUCACAUAUCAAUGUGUUAUACUCCAUGAGUAGAUUAAAUUAAGUAUUUGGAAGCUCAAAUAUAGAGUAAUGAAUGAGAAAUUAACUCCCAAAUAUCACCCUUGGAAAUAAUAAUAAAUACUUGAGGAAAGCCAAGUUCCACUUCGGUUAAGAACUAAAGUAUUAAUUGGUUUAUAUACAAUAAAGUUGUUCUUGGGUUUGGGCCCCAAGGAGCACCCCACUUUUGUGGAAGGAGCGAACCUAGCCAGGGCUGGUUCAAAUCCAUACGCCGGGUCCUUGUAUAUAAUUUGUUGGUAAUAAAUUUUGUUUAUUUUAUUUUAGUUCUAUUAUCAAAACUGUGUCGUUUUGAUAAAUGUUAUUUAUUAUCAAAACUGUGUCGUUUUGAGAAACGUUAUCUGCCGAAUGGACACGCCAAUACUGCAUCGUUUUGGGAAGUGCUAUUUGCCUGAACAAACGCCCCAAAACUACGUCGUUUUUGCUUGAACGGAUGCGCCCUUUCUGUUAAGCCUAAAACUACGCCGUUUUUGUUCUGCUAAGCCUAAAACUGCAUCGUUUUUAGCCUGAACGGACGCGUCCUUUUUGCUAAAGCCAAAAAUUACGUCGUUUUUGGCUAAAGGUGUCUUUUCAAAAGGUUGUGCCCAUUUGAUGGGUCACUAAUCCCUCCUAUAAAUAGACUAAGGGGGCUGCCAUUCUAUUCAUUCAAAUCAUCCAAGUAUUAAGCUUUCUAAGUCUUCGUUCAUAGUUUUUUUUAAAGAGAGUCAAAGCACUUAUUUUGGUUAGCUGACUAUACUAUUUGUAGUGUUGUUAUAGUAUACGUUGUCAUUAUAUCCACAAGUGCUAUAAACUCUAACAACCGUAAGGAGGUCAUAAUUGUCUUAAGGUCAUAAGUUUUGAGAUAAGUUUAUAUAUAUAUAUAGUGUCCAUUCAUUUUUCCUAACAACUCUUUCUGGGAAAAAUAAUUCUGGAGACUGAUUUGGAUUACCGUCGUCACUAUAUCUUUGAAUAUAAAGCGAGCCAGAUGUCGGUUUACUAUGCCCUGCAAUAAGCUGUAUGGGAAAAGUUAGAAGUUUACAACAUGAAUUACAAAGAGGGAUAUAAAGAAAUAACAGUAGACCUGCAAAAGAGUAGUUUUUCCAUUCCACUCCGUCCAAAAAUUAAACCAAAACUGCAGCAUACAGAACACCCAAUAAUCAUAUCAAUGCAAAGUAUAAUACCUUUAAUCAUAUCAGUACCGGGUGGUUCUAAAUGUCCUAAAAAUUGUUGAACUUAUUAUAUUCAAUUCUGACUAGAAAUCCAUACCUCUUCUCUUUAAGGGAGAUAUUAACUCCACUCAAAAUGUUGAUUUCUGUUCCUGGAGGUCGAUAGCUAACAUCCCUUAUCUCAAAAUAAAGCAAUAGGAUUGUUUCAGUAAUUUCUUUCACUUCUAUAUGAUAAAGAAUAAUAAAUUUGCAACAGAAACUUAGUUGCAAAACACAAUCCAUUCUACAAAGAAGUACAGCAAGUAGCAAAGGAUUCAUGAAUGUUAUAUCAAAGUCAAUUACUCAAAAUAGUUGGCAAGAUAAAAACUAAUAGCAAGGGCAGAUGUUAGGUGAGGCCAAUAUAUCAUUGGAGAGCUGCAUAUUUGCAGACACAAAGGAAAGCAAGACCAUCUAUUAUAUAUGAAGUGCAGCAAUCGUUCAUACAUCAAACUAAGCAAAUUCUCAAAACAAGUAGCUUGAAUUAGGGAUAAGAGAUUCUCCCAAUAACUGUCCUUUAAUUAGUUGGAUCGUAUUUCAGUAAUGUUCAGUUAAAGAUGAAAGGGGACAAUGCGUGCCACCCUAAGCUAAACACUAUCAUAGAAACUAGAAAGCAACACUAGGGUUAACGUUAAAAUAAAUACCCUCAUACUUAGAAGCUCGUUAAGCCUAAUUCUUUCCAACUUUAAAAACACACCCUAGGUUUUUUAUUACACUAUCAUUUAUAUUAUAAUAAUAAGAUAGAACUCAAUUUGAAUUUGGGCGAGAAAAUAAUUCAGAUUCAUUCUAAUUGAUUUGGGAGAGAAAGCACAAGGACGGUUCUAAUUUUCAAAGGGAAGGGUGGUGGGAGAGGAAGGAGGAGAGAGAGGGAGGAGAGAGAGGAAAUGAAAGUGGGAUUGUUGAAACGGAGAAAAGUGUGGUGGGAGAGAAAAGUAGAAAUCCCAAGCCACACUAUACCACUACCUUUUAGUUUUUACACACACACUCUCAUUUUUACUGUGGAUGGAGAUUUGACAUAUUUUGAUUUGACAAUAUAUACAAUAAAUAAUGCCUUAAAAAGAGAAAGGAAUUUGUUCUUUCCACAUAUUUCCACAAUACACGUUUACAUUUAUAUUAGUGUGACUUGUGGAAUUAUAAUUUCCACAUAUUUCCACAAUACACGUUUACAUUUACAUUAGUGGGACUUGUGGAAAUUAUAAUUUCAACAUAUUUCCACAAUACACGUUUACAUUUACAUAAGGGUAAACGUAGGAGAACAUAUAUAUACAUAUCCAAACAAGUCCCCAGUUGAAAUGAACAACAAUAACCUGACUUACAUGCUCAGCUACUCACGGAAGGCCUAAAGUACAUGCAGAUGGGUGGAUCAAUCCUGAAAAUGGAGAGAACUGCAAAUGGUAUUGUCCAUAUCCCAUCACCACAUAUCAACCCUGAAGCAACAGCCCCAACAUAAUCUUCAGUGCCCUUCCUAUUCAAUUGCUCCCAGACGAACAAGAUAACCGUCCCGACAAACAUGUCGAUUGCAAAAUAAGCUCCAAUAUAAAACGGUACUGCCAUUGCCAUUGGAAUAGGAAUAAAUUGGGAAACUUUUUUAGGGGUCGCAUCCCUCAGCAGGUUUAUAAGUACAGCUGCCGCAAAGAAUCCGCAACAUAUGGCCAGACAAUGCUUGGGAAGAGAAGACAAGCCCUCAACUCCAAGAAUUGCCAUUUCCCUGAAUAUAACAGCAUAUGGUGCCUUGUACGGACUGUCAGGGGAUCCA
rnacentral:lncRNA from 1 species